GCGCGAAAACUUUACAAUGCUGGCAACAGCGAUAAGGGAACCUCGAGUGCCAGGUUACAAAUCUGGCUGUUGAGAUGCCUAAAAAGCAUUUCAUAGCAAGGGCCGGGCAAGACCGGUGCCAGCCGCCGCGGUAACACCGGCGGCUCGAGUGGUAACCGUUAUUAUUGGGUCUAAAGGGUCUGUAGCUGGCCGGAUAAGUCUCUUGAGAAAUCUGGCAGCUUAACUGUCAGGCUUUCAGGAAAUACUGUCUGGCUCGAGGCCGGGAGAGGUGAGAGGUACUUCAGGGGUAGGGGUGAAAUCUUGUAAUCCUUGAAGGACCACCAGUGGCGAAGGCGUCUCACCAGAACGGACCUGACGGCAAGGGACGAAAGCUAGGGGCACGAACC
rnacentral:rRNA from 1 species